rnacentral:rRNA from 1 species
GUAGGUGGCAAGCGUUGUCCGGAAUUAUUGGGCGUAAAGCGCGCGCAGGCGGUUCUUUAAGUCUGAUGUGAAAGCCCACGGCUCAACCGUGGAGGGUCAUUGGAAACUGGAGAACUUGAGUAAAGAAGAGGAAAGCGGAAUUCCACGUGUAGCGGUGAAAUGCGUAGAGAUGUGGAGGAACACCAGUGGCGAAGGCGGCUUUCUGGUCUGUAACUGACGCUGAGGCGCGAAAGCGUGGGGAGCAAACAGGAUUAGAUACCCUGGUAGUCCACGCCGUAAACGAUGAGUGCUAAGUGUUAGGGGGGUUUUCCGCCCCCCUUAGUGCUGCAGCUAACGCAUUAAGCACUCCGCCUGGGAGUACGGCCGCAAGGCUG